AUGAGUUCGCUCCUCGUCGCGGAGUUGUCUGAGUUGGCGGUGCGGUCCCCGCGCUUCCGGCUGUCGGCACCCUACAGGCUUGCGGUACCACCGAGCUUGUGUCCCGGCCCCAAGUGCGGGGAAAGGAGGGUCGUCCCUGGCGGAGGCGCCUGGCCGCGCAGCUUUCCCGCACUGCCUCCGCAACCUGGUCUAUCUCUCCAUGGCGUCUCAUCAGCAAACCCGGAUCCAGGCUUACCUGGAGAAGAACAAGAUCGGUCCCCUGUUUGAGGAGUUAAUGACCAAGUUAAUCACUGAGACACCUGACCAGCCAAUCCCAUUUCUUGUUGACUAUCUUCAGUCUAAACAGGGAAACUGUGGACAACUUCAAAGAACUUUGUCUGGUUCUGCAGCUCUCUGGGCAGAAAGUGAAACAUCAGAACAUAAAGGAACAAGAAGGGAUUUCAGAAAUUAUGAUAAACCUUGGCAACUAAAUGCAAAGAAGCCCAAAAAAUCGAAAAGUGACAUUGCUGUAUCUAAUAUUUCUCCACCAUCACCAGAAUCCAAAUCAUUGCCAACAUCAGUAGAACAUGCUAAAUGGAAUUGGCAUAUUAAACCAGAGAGCCGUGAGUUUGAUGAAUUGAACCACAUCCUUCAAGAGAGCAAGAAACUGGGAAAAGCCCUAGAGAAUCUUUCUCGAAGUAUUGCAAUUUCAGAUGAGCUCGAUAAGGAAACAGUGGCUUUUAAUUCAUCUCUGCUGAGACCCCGUGUGAUUGGAGAAUGGAUUGGUAGAGAAGAAAAUGAUGCUGAUCCACUGGCUGCUGAAAUGCUGCAGCCCCCAAUUCCACGAAGUAAAAAUGAACAGUGGGAAAGUGAAGAGAGCAACUCGAGCCCUGCAGGGAGUUUAAAGAUGGAACCAAAAACCAAGGGAUUAAAACAACAGCAGCAACAGCAUAAAAAACUUCUGGCAGCAAUGCUCUCUCAAGAUUCUUUCGAAUCCAUCCACAGCCCUACCCCAUCUGUAACAGAAGAAGAUAUUGAUAAUGAAGAUGAUGCAAUGGAAUUGCUGGGUAAUUUUAAAAAUUAAUAAUUUCUAUUUUCUUCUUUGGUGUUGUAACAAUAUGUAGUGAUUUAAGAGAUUAUAAACACAUCUGAAUAGUCUUGUCUUACAGGAAAGAAAAUGUUUGAAGACAUGCUUUAUUUACAAUAGACCUUCAUUAAAUUGCAUGUAAGAACUAAGUUUAACUUUAAAUAAUCUAAGCAUUUGAAGUAUUUAUUAGACUAUAUUUUGUGCUUUGUAUAUGCAGAACUUUAUGUCAUUCUGAUUACUUAAUCAAGCUUUUUCUCUGUGCAACUGUGAUAAAAGCUCAAGCCUGUCUGCUUUAUUCUCUGAUAAUAAUUGCGUGAUUCACAAGUGUUUUCUAUAAUAUGUACCCAAAAUACGUAAUUCAGUCCUCAUCCAAGAUGUCUUUCCUGCUGUUUUGAUGAUGUUCCAGGAAAAGAGAGUAAAGAUUUAAAGGGAUAGAUAGUAGAUUCAUGUUUUAUGUUUUCCAUAAAUGAC